CAAUAGCGUAUAUUAAAGUUGUUGCAGUUAAAAAGCUCGUAGUUGGAUUUCGGGACGGUCCGGCUGGUCCGCCGCAAGGCGUGUUACUGACCGGGCUGUCCUUCUUUGCAAAGGCUGCAUGUGUUCUUAACUGAGUGUGUGUAGGAUUUGUGACGUUUACUUUGAAAAAAUUAGAGUGUUCAAAGCAGGCCAGCGCUUGAAUACAUAAGCAUGGAAUAAUGGAAUAGGACUUUGGUUCUAUUUUGUUGGUUUCUGGAACCGAAGUAAUGAUUAAGAGGGACAGUUGGGGGCAUUUGUAUUUCGGCGCUAGAGGUGAAAUUCUUAGAUUGCCGAAAGACAAACUGCUGCGAAAGCGUCUGCCAAGGAUGUUUUCAUUGA
rnacentral:rRNA from 1 species